rnacentral:tRNA from 1 species
GUUAUUGUAGUUUAAAAUUUUAAAAAUACGGCACUGAAGUUGCCGAGAUGGAUUGUCAUUUUUUCCCAAAAACA